GUCGAGAAUUUUUCUCAAUGGGGGAAACCCUGAAGGAGCGACGCCGCGUGGAGGAUGAAGGUUUUCGGAUCGUAAACUCCUGUCAUUGGGGAACAAUAUUACGGGGAGUAACUGCCCUGUAAUUGAUAGUACCCGAAGAGGAAGGGACGGCUAACUCUGUGCCAGCAGCCGCGGUAAUACAGAGGUCCCAAGCGUUGUUCGGAUUCAUUGGGCGUAAAGGGUGCGUAGGCGGCAAGGUAAGUUGGAUGUGAAAUCCCGGGGCUCAACCCCGGAACUGCAUUCAAUACUGCUUUGCUAGAGUAUUGGAGAGGAGAUUGGAAUUCACGGUGUAGCAGUGAAAUGCGUAGAUAUCGUGAGGAAGACCAGUGGCGAAGGCGAAUCUCUGGACAAUAACUGACGCUGAGGCACGAAGGCUAGGGGAGCAAACGGGAUUAGAUACCCUAGUAGUCC
rnacentral:rRNA from 1 species